rnacentral:rRNA from 1 species
UUAGGAUGAACGCUGGCGGCGUGCCUAACACAUGCAAGUCGAACGGAGAUUAGACGCUGAUGAGGCUUCGGCGGAUUCUGUUUAAUCUUAGUGGCGGACGGGUGAGUAACGCGUGGGCAACCUGCCUCGUACUGGGGGAUAGCAGUUGGAAACGACUGAUAAUACCGCAUAAGCGCACGGAGUCGCAUGACUCAGUGUGAAAAACUCCGGUGGUACGAGAUGGGCCCGCGUCAGAUUAGCUAGUUGGUGAGGUAACGGCCCACCAAGGCGACGAUCUGUAGCCGGACUGAGAGGUCGGACGGCCACAUUGGGACUGAGACACGGCCCAAACUCCUACGGGAGGCAGCAGUGGGGGAUAUUGCACAAUGGAGGAAACUCUGAUGCAGCGACGCCGCGUGAAGUGAAGAAGUAUUUCGGUAUGUAAAGCUCUAUCAGCAGGGAAGAAAGGCUCGUAAGAGAGAUGACGGUACCUGACUAAGAAGCCCCGGCUAACCACGUGCCAGCAGCAGC